GCCGUCUUUAGAGGGAAGCAAGCGAAAUUCUGUCUGAAAGAGACGGCCGUGCUUCGCCUCACAGACGACCUUGUCGUCUUGACGAGAAAGGGCGCGCCAACAUCGUCGUCAGAAGGAGCUUGGAAAAGAUAAGAUGGAUGAAUACGUAAAAAACAAAUUAAUAGAA